UACGGAGGGUGCGAGCGUUGUCCGGAAUUAUUGGGCGUAAAGAGCUCGUAGGCGGUUUGUUGCGUCGGCUGUGAAAUCCCCGAGGCUCAACCUCGGGUCUGCAGUCGAUACGAGCAAACUAGAGUGUUGCAGGGGAGACUGGAAUUCCUGGUGUAGCGGUGAAAUGCGCAGAUAUCAGGAGGAACACCGGUGGCGAAGGCGGGUCUCUGGGCAACAACUGACGCUGAGGAGCGAAAGCGUGGGGAGCGAACAGG
rnacentral:rRNA from 1 species